CCAUAAAGACUCUCAGAAGAGUAUUCCAAAUGGAGAAUUCACCAUGAGCAACAGCACCAUCACAAAGAAAUUGACAUCUGAAAAAAGAUAAGAAUGAGGGGCCAAUCCAGUGACCAUAAGGGUCACUAGGGGUAUUGAUUCAAAUUUGGGCCCAUGAACCUAUAUCAUGAACAAAUACCUUGGUAAGGUCAGGGAUUGGGCAUAGUGAAGAGGGCCAUUCUGGUGAUGCAAAGGACCAGGUGUGAGCUGCUAAAGAGAGAAGAUGAUACUUGCUGAGUCCAGAGAUUGUGACUUGCAACAUGGGUCAUUAAUUAUUCACUGGGCAGAUUUCUUAUUAACAAAUAGUACAUGGAUUUGCCCCAGCUUAUGGGGAAAGAAAUGCCACAGCCAUGUUCCAGGAGUGUGAACCUACCCAUAAGUACCCAGCGGUGUUUUCUGACUCCUGGACUAAAGACAGAGAGGAGAGCUCUUGGGCCAGGUGACUGCCUGAUGACUAGAGAUCCCAGUGCUGCUAUGGUCCUACUGCUCUGCCAUUUUGUUGGCUAUCUCAAUAUCAUAUGUUGGCUUUGUUUCUGUCACUUGCAAACCAAAGAGAGCAGCCUAAAAUCCUCUUGUCUCUCUCUCUUUUUUUUUUAAUAGCUACAUGAUGGCUGAAAACUUUAGAAACAGGUUAUAAACUUUGAAACAGAUAUUUUCUUCUUAAAUAAAUGAAUGAAAAACAAAGAAACAACUGUCACAUCACCAUGCAUCUGGCCACCUCCCCACCCCAAGGCUGCUCAGAGAGUGUGCUCCACAUCCAUGGGAUACCUGUGGCCCGAACCUGGCACCCUCCAGGGUUUCAGACCAACCUCUGCUCAAGUUCCCUCAUUUCCUUCUGGGAAAGGUACUGGGAACAAGACCCAUGUGAGAUACUAGGAGAGAAAAUAUUGUUUAAAGAAGUAAAUGGUGGCAGGUUCAUGCCAAAGAAGGACCUGUUCCCUCUGCAGAGGCAGCCACACUUCUUUGAUUCCAUGGAUUGGAGACCAACUCCAACAUAACCUUGGGAACCAUGAACUGAAGUUGACAAGGUCACAUGAUGGAAGGAGCCUGGGUCACGAAGUCACCAGUAGAGGAGAGUGUCCUCAAUUCAGAGGUAUAUGGAUUGAAAGCAGACAAACUGGCCCCACAGAAAAUCCAUGAACUGUUAUGACACUGCCAUUUUGACAUGGAAAUCCAGGGCUGUUGGUCAGCACUUUUGCUGAUGCCCUUAUGUGCUCUUCCCCUGCUCACUUGGCUGAGCAUACACCAAGCAUGGGGUGGGGAGCCUCUAGGCAAGCAAGAGCCUUGUGACCUUUGCAGACAGUAUCAGGUUUGCCUGCUGCCGAAGAAAUCUGUAAUUUAGGAGAAUGAGCUGCGUCCUCUACUGCAAUAUGCCCCACCAUUGCCCUCUGACCCACUCGUGGACAGAGAAUAGGUAAUGACAUGGCACUGCUUUGAUUUCCUAGGCUUCCUGGUAUUAGGUCAGAGUGGUUAGAACUCAGGCUGGUCUCUUCUGGCUGCAGUCAGUGUUUCUACUUGACCAAUGCACUGGAUAUAUAAUAGCACUUUCUAUUAGUGUAGAAUGGUAAGCAGGGACAAGUUAGAGUGUUUUAUAUAGAACCCAACUCUCAGCCUAGUGAUGGCCUGUCCGGCUGGCCAGCCACUUGUUUGGGUUAGAAGGAUAUUCCACAGUGUUCCUUGUGGUUGAUUUUGGCUCACAGGUAACUGGCAACCAGAUACUGAGCAGUGAUCCCUUUGGAGUCAUGGAGGGCCUAAUCACGGCCACAGAAGUGUCUCCCAGUAAGUCCUGGAGGCCCUGCUCAGUGUUCUGUUGGUGGUGUAUGAAUUCUUGAACUGAGGCUUGAGUCUCUGUGGGUCUCCGGGAUAUUCUGGUAUAUGCUGUCCUGAUUGUACUUAUAGAAGAGUCAACAUAUUGUAAAGAGCUACUAAAAAGAUCUAACAGAGAAUCUAGACAAGAUGGCAGAAGAGUAGGGGGACACGCUCACCCUCUCCCACAAACACAACAACAACAAAAAACACAUCUACAGGAUAAAUGACUUGCACAGAACAGCAACCAAUCGCUGGCAGAAGAACCUAAACUCCAAUAACGGCAAGAAGUUCGUGACAUUACUAGGUAAAACAAGAGAAAAGAGGAGAGUGACAGAAGGUGAAUCCGAGCGGACAGGCGCUUCCGAAAGGGAACUGCAGAGGAGAAAGGGAUUCUGCACCCUGGAAAGUCACCUACUGGGGAAAAGAUCAAACGAACCGGAGAAAUCUCCAAAUGCAGAGAAAAGUGUAGCAGUAAGUUGGAGUUCUGAAAAGCAGAUCGAGAACUGAAUGGAUCAUCUGAACUAUGGGCACAGUCACCAAAAAUUGAGACACCUUGGUGGGGGCUGGGCACCGAGUCCUCGGCUCCAGAGGUUAGUCCUUGGGAAAGGGCUUGGGGAGCAGGGUGGAGCAGAGACUGCUUGGGAGGUCUAGAAACCAGUCUGUCAAGUUUGACAGGGCAGAGACUGCCUGGGAGACUAGAAAGCAAAGCUGUUGCAGGGGAAGGGAGCAAUACUCUAGGGGCGGGGAAAUGGAAAGCCACAUCAGAGGGAACCUGGGAGAAGGGCCUGGUCUGCGCCCGUGUUGGGGAGGGGAGAGAAGAAGGGGUGGGUCCCCAUAGAAUACUCCCCAUGUCACAGCAAGCUCACCAGCCCACUAGCUAUCAGAAAGCUGUGCAUUCUAGUGCAUCCCCUCCCCCCACCCCCACCACCCCUUACCCACUCUCUAGACCUGGGGCUCCUGCCAUCUGGGAGGGCUGGCCUCAACACUUGCUGGAAGCCUACCACCACAGGGGCUGUCCCUGCCCUGGCCUGCUUGCCCUUUGGAGGGGCUACACCCCAGCGGAGCAGCACCAAACACCACCAGCCCCUGAGAAAAGGCCUGCAGCCCAGAAAAGCUAGAACAAGCCUGGCCAGGCUGUAAAAAGAUCUGCCUAAUUCUCACACAGUCUUUCCGAGUCAGGCUGCCCUGGGGAGGAGGCUCUUAGGUUCACAGUGGCCCAGCUAGCCGCCCAAGCACUCAGGGGGUGCCGAACUCUCGCGGAUAAGCUGCAUAGGACUGCCAGCUAUCUGUAGGACCCCCUGCAGCUCAGAAAAACUACAAUAAGCCUGGCCGGGCUGUGAAAAGAUCUGCCUAAUUCUUGGACAGUCAUUCUGAGUCGGGCUGCCCUGUGGAAGAGCCUCUUGGGUUUUCAGCAGCCCAGCUAGGUGCUCCAGCCCUCAGGGGGAGCUGCACUCUCAUGGAUCAGUUGCACAGGACUGCCAGCUCCAGGCAGGACCCCCUGCAGCCCAGAAAAGCUACAACAAGCUUGGCCAGACUGUGAAAAGAUCUUCCAACAUUCUCAGACAGUCCUUCUGAGUUGGGCUGCCCUAGGGAAGAGCCUUUGAGUUCUCAGUGCCCAGAUAGCUGCUCCAGCACUCGGGGGGUGCUGCACUCCUGAGGAACAGCUGCUCAACACUGCCAACCCCCUGCAAGAACCCCACAGCCUAAAAACACCAGAGCAAGCUCUGCAUGACCAAGUGAAAUCUGCUACCAUCGUGGUGUAGACCUCCCAGUCCUGUCUGCCCUCAGGCAGUCCCCCUUUGCUUCAAAGAGACCCUGUUAGCCCCAUCAACACUCCAGAAAAGCCACCCUGCCUCAAAAAGACUGACCAACAACGCCAGCCCUCAGGAAAUAUUCCACAGCAGUGACAAGGCAAACCCUGCCCGGUCACAGACAGUACAACUCCCACAGGAAAAAGAAAACAACAAGCAAGAUGAAGAAGCUGAGAAACCACCUCCAGUCAAACCAACAGGAGAACUCACCUAAAACAGUCAACAAUGAAACAGAUCUCUGCAGUCUGACAGACCUGGAGUUCAAAAGAGAAAUAGUGAAAAUAUGGAAGGAACUAAGAGAAGAUAUGAACAGUAAUGCAGAUACCCUCAGUAAGGAACUGGAAAAUAAAAGGAAGAGCCAAGAAAAACUAGAAAAUUCAUUUGCAGAGAUACAAACAGAACUACGGGCAGUAAAAACCAGAAUGAAUAAUGCAGAAGAAUGAAUCAGUGAUAUGGAAGAUAGAAUAAUGGAAAUUACCCAAUCAGGUCAGCAGACAGAAAACCAAAUCAAAAAAUAGGAAAGCAAUAUAAGAGACCUAUGGGAUAAUAUAAAGUGGGCCAAUCUACACAUAAUAGGAAUUCCAGAAGGAGUAGAAAAAGACAAGGGAAUGGAAAAUAUAUUUGAAGAAAUUAUCACUGGAAACUUCCCAAAUCUAAAGGAUACUGGGUUCAAGAUACAGGAAGCACAGAGGACCCCAAACAAAUUGAAUCCAAAUAGACCCACACCAAGACACAUCAUAAUAAAAAUGGCAAAAGUUGGUGAUAAAGAGAGGAUCCUAAAAACAUCAAGAGACAAGCAGAAUGUUACCUACAAGGGAACCCCCAUAAGGUUAUCAGCUUAUUUCUCUACAGAAACACUACAGGCCACAACACUAAUGGCAAGAGAUACUUAAAGUGCUAAAAGGAAAAAAUAUGCAAUCUAGAAUACUCUAUCCAGCAAGAAUAUCAUUUAAAAUAGAAGGGGAAAUAAAAAUUUUUUUCCAACAAACAAAAGCUAAAAGAAUACAGCAACACAAAACCCAGGCUAAAAGAAAUACUGAAAGGCCUUCUCCAAACCAAAAAAAUGAAGGAAGGAAAGAAAAAGAAAAAAAAAAAAAAGAAGAGGAAGAACUAGGACUGAGGAAACCACAAUCAGAGAGCAGUCACUCAAAUAAGCCAGCAUACUGAUUUAAUCAUGAACAUG
rnacentral:lncRNA from 1 species